AAGAAAGUGACAGAGGGGCCAUGUGUCUGACUUGAAAUCAGGUUACGGGGGUUCGAUUCCCUCCUUUCUCG
rnacentral:tRNA from 1 species